rnacentral:rRNA from 1 species
UACGGGAGGCAGCAGUGAGGAAUAUUGGUCAAUGGGCGAGAGCCUGAACCAGCCAAGUAGCGUGCAGGACGACGGCCCUAUGGGUUGUAAACUGCUUUUAUGCGGGGAUAAAGUUCACUACGUGUAGUGUUUUGUAGGUACCGCAUGAAUAAGGACCGGCUAAUUCCGUGCCAGCAGCCGCGGUAAU